rnacentral:rRNA from 1 species
AUUGAACGCUGGCGGCAGGCCUAACACAUGCAAGUCGAGCGAGCGGCGGACGGGUGAGUAAUGUAUGGGGACUGCCCGAUAGAGGGGGAUAACUCCUGGAAACGGUGGCUAAUACCGCAUACUAUCGGAUAACCCAUAUGGGAGUGGCUAGUAGGUGGGGAAAAGGCUCACCUAGGCGACGAGCUCUAGCUGGUCUGAGAGGAUGAUCGGCCACACGGGGACUGAGACACGGCCCAGACUCCUACGGGGGCAGAAGUGGGAAACAUUGCACAUGGGGCGCAAGCCUGAGGCGGCAAGGCGGCGGGUAUGAAGAAGGCUUGAGGGUUGUAAAGUACGUUCAGCGGGGAGGCGUUACCCGCAGAAGAAGCACCGGCUAACUCCGUGCCAGCAGCCGCGGUAAUUC